GGUUGUAUAGUGUAGCGGUUAUCACCUUGGAUUCUGACUCUUAAUAGUCGACUUCCAGUAACCCCGGUUCGAUUCCGGGUACGACCU
rfam:Yarrowia lipolytica strain CLIB122 chromosome C complete sequence.